rnacentral:rRNA from 1 species
AAUCUUGCACAAUGGGCGAAAGCCUGAUGCAGCCAUGCCGCGUGAAUGAUGAAGGCCUUAGGGUUGUAAAAUUCUUUCACCAAGGAUGAUAAUGACAGUACUUGGAGAAGGAGCCCCGGCUAACUUCGUGCCAGCAGCCGCGGUAAUACGAAGGGGGCUAGCGUUGUUCGGAAUUACUGGGCGUAAAGCGCGCGUAGGCGGACUUUUAAGUCAGAUGUGAAAUCCCGGGGCUCAACCCCGGAACUGCAUUUGAAACUGGAAGUCUGGAGGCCAGGAGAGGUCAGUGGAAUACCGAGUGGAGAGGUGAAAUUCGCAGAUAUUCGGUGGAACACCAGUGGCGAAGGCGACUGACUGGACUGGUACUGACGCUGAGGCGCGAAAGUGUGGGGAGCAAACAGG